rnacentral:sRNA from 1 species
CAAAUAUGACUUGAUUUUAUGUUUAUGAUUGAGUAUAAGAACUUAAACAGCAACCUGAUCUUAAAAGCCUAAGUAGUGUUUCCUUGUUAGUAGAUACAAAGACAACGACACAAUCUGACUUCAGCUACACCAUCAAAGCUUUGAGAAGCAAGAAGAGGCUUGGUUAGUGUUUUGGAAUCAAAUAUGACUAAAUGUCAUGUGUAUGAGUGAGUAUAACAACUAGAACCACAACCGCAUCUUAAAAACCUAAGUAUUAUAUCCUUGUUAGAUUAUACAAUACAAAGACUCAUAUGGCCUUCGGCUACACCAUCAAAGCUUUGAGAAGCAAGAACAAACAUUGUUAGUGUUUUGGAGUUAAAUAUGACUAGAUAUCAUGUGUAUGAGUGAGUAUAACAACUAGAAUCUC